AUCAUCAAAACAACAUCAAACAUCACAACAUCAUCAUCAAACAACAUCAAACAUCAUCAUCAAAACAUCAACUACAUCACCGUCACUAAAAAAACAUUAUCAAAAUUCAGCAACAUCAUAAAAACACCAUCAAACAUCGUCAACUACAUCACCAACAUCACUAAAAAAAAUCAUCAAACAUCAACAAAAACCAACGACAUCAAACAUUAACACAACAACAACAUCAAUCUUUUUCUUUUUUCUUUGUGGGUUUAGGUUAAAACCCAAAAAGAAGAACCCAAAAAGGCAAAGAGAGCCGAGAUUUGCAUUCAUGACAAACAGUGAGGUUGAUCACUUGGAUGAUGGGUAUAGAUGGAGGAAGUACGGCCAAAAAGCUGUGAAAAAUAGCCCCUUUCCAAGUCCCUCUGAGAUCGGAACAUCAGCAACGCGAGAUCGGAACAUCAACAUCAGCGAUCGUGAGAUCGGAACAUCAACAUCGCAACACGUCUGCAACAUCAACGCCAUGAUCAACAUCGCAACAUCAGCGCCGUGAGAUCGAAACAUCAGUGCCGUGAGAUCUCCCUCUCUUUCAGAAUUGCUGAUCAAUUCGCCGGAAAACAAUUACACAACGAUUCUAUUCCUUGCGCAACAAGAUCUCUGCAGAUCUAAUUCAAAAAAGGUAACUAUAUAUAUAUAUGUAUGUAUUUGUGUAUCUUUCUUCUUUUGUUGAAUCUGGACGUUUACAUGUUCCUUUUUUUUUCUUUUUUUUUUUUUGUGGGUUUGGUUCGAAAUCGAUUUCUACGUAUUGGGUUAAUUUAGGUCUGAUCUAUUCGUUGGGAUUGUAAGAAGUUAGGGUUUCAAAGGUUUAUGGAUUGAUUGGUUUGUGUUACUUCUGAUGUUCACCAUGUUGAUGAUGUUGCUAUUGUUCAUGAUGAUGUUCACGAUGUAAAAACCCUAGGCGUUCUGAUGAUGUUUGAUGAUUUUGCUAA